GUUCAGUCCCGCAUUUGCGCAGUGGUCCGGCUGUUACGUAAUUUGAUCGACUUAGGUGAUACACCAUCCACUGAUUAACAUUUUCUAAGCUUCGAAAAUGGUUGUUCUAGCUGCAUCCAUUAUUUCUAAAUCAGGAAAAGCACUUAUCUCGAGGCAGUUUGUUGAGAUGUCUCGUAUAAGAAUUGAAGGGUAUCUGGCAGCCUUCCCCAAAUUGGUUGGAACGGGAAAGCAACAUACCUAUGUGGAGACUGAAAACGUGCGUUAUGUUUAUCAGCCAAUAGAAUCUCUAUACUUGCUGCUAGUGACAAACAAACAGAGCAACAUUCUCGAAGAUUUGGAGACAGUGAGGCUGCUGUCUAAACUUGUGCCUGAAUAUUCUUUUUCUCUUGACGAGGAAGGAGUUUGCAGGACAGCAUUUGAGCUUAUCUUUGCAUUUGAUGAAGUAAUAUCUCUCGGGCACAAGGAAAAUGUUACUGUGGCACAAGUCAAGCAGUAUUGUGAAAUGGAGAGCCAUGAAGAGAAACUGCAUAAGUUAGUCUUACAAAGCAAGAUUAAUGAAACUAAGGAUGUCAUGAAG
rnacentral:misc_RNA from 1 species